CACACACACACACACACACACACACACACUAUCGCCUUCUCAAUCGCGUUAGCUUGCCUUAGCUUCUCGUUGGAGACGUGUACACAGUGCCGCAAGAAAAGCCAAAGUGCAAACGCCCUCUCUCUCUCUUUGCAUCUACCUCGAAUUUUCGCUCACGACCAAGUUCCAACGCUGCUCUUUCGCUCAGAACCAAUGACGCCGACGCCGCCGACACCGGAAUUUCUGCGCAACGAGCUCCUUGACGCUCUCGCGUCAAAAAAAAAAGAUAUAUAAACGCGACUUCCUUCAAGCGGCCGCUAAACGGGAGGGCUGUUACAUGAGGCGCCGAGAGAGAAAUACGAUAGCGCAACUUUACGACGCAUGUGCGAGCGAGGAAAGACAAAUUAAAAAAAAACACACACACCGACGCGCACACCAGGAGAGGAGAAGCGCGCGUGCUACAGUCGAAGUCUCGCCGUCGCCCGUCGCUGCCUUCGCCAUUUUCUUCCGUUGCCCGGUCAUCGAAGUUUCCGAAUCGCUCAGCUGUGUCGGCUGUGCGUGCCCGUGUCCUGUGUGUGCGCGACUGUGAUCUCAACGCUGGACGUGAACGGCAUUUAGCGACGGCAGUGCAACAUCCCGUACUGUGAGCGUGUUCGCGUUGGUUUCAUGAUGGUCUGGAGACUCAAGCGAGCUUGCACCUUCGUGUAUGCGUGUUCGGCCAGCACCUGGUUAGGCACAGUCGGAAAUGCGAACGAUGGUGCUCAAGAUGGCAUAUGCAACGCUAUGCAGCUGUGGACACCAGCAGCUUGAUAAGAACUCUCGAAGCUCAUCUGGAUGCUUCACAGAACCUGGGAAGACUGAACACUUUUGGCAAAGCAGCAACAGUUCUGGCCCAUCUGUUUGUCUACAAGACGGUCUCUUCCGUGAACACUCCUGUGCCUUACAGUAUACUAUACUGAUGACCUUGUACAUCUCUCUGUAUUUAGGAUUGUCAGCACAUGGACUGCUGCACUGUGUUAUGCACGGUGCCGAGUCCAAACUUUCCAAUAACAGUGUGCAUUUGAAAAUUUUACAUGGUUUGAAAAGAUGCUGAAUGUUAACGCAUUUAAUUUACUGAGCAUGGUUUUGACUGUUUUACAGCCAUUAUUUAUUCCCUGUUCAAUUUUUAUUCAACCUCAUGGCAUGUCCAGUCCUUGGCUCUAAUGUGCCAAGCCACCACCAGUAUUGAUGGGCAAUUUUUAAUUCAAAGCAUGUUAUUGCCCAACUCCGAGGUAACUUUCCUGUCACGGUAUUCGGAUUAAUUUUCAAUGUGGUACUUCUGCACGAGCCAUAAAUUGAGCUGUUGAAGGUGAUGAAGAACCAAUUUUCCGGUCGAAUUGGAUGGCACUAGCUGGCAUGUAAAUAUUGUAAGCAUUGGUCUACUACCUAUGCAUAAUAAUACGGGUGAAUAGGGUUGCGAAAUAAUGCCAUGUUCCCAUGCUUAACCUUAUAAAUUUACAUUAUUUCUUAAAAAUAUGUGAAUAAAGGCGACUGUGUUUACAAACCUUGGCAGGUGGAUCUAUGGUCAACACCACAGGUCUUUAUACAAAAAAUUGAACUGCACAAUCAUGUGUAACAUGUUUUCAUGCCUGAGGGCAAACUAAUGCAAUAUACAAGAAAAAUGGUACACCACCAUGCCUAAGUGUUGCAAGCCUUUAUUACUUAUCGAGUUGCCUUCAUGUGUAAGCAGACACCAAGUUCUCUGUGCAUCAGGGGCAUAGGCAGAAAUUUU